rfam:Musca domestica strain aabys unplaced genomic scaffold Scaffold20311, whole genome shotgun sequence.
CAAUCGGUCCUUUUCAGGACCACAAAUAUUUUACAAAAAAGAGAUAU